rnacentral:rRNA from 1 species
GACAGAGGGUGCAAACGUUGCUCGGAAUCACUGGGCGUAAAGGGCGUGUAGGCGGGAAGGAAAGUCGGGCGUGAAAUCCCUGGGCUCAACCCACGGAAGACUGCACUCGAAACUUCUCUUCUUGAGUGCCGGAGAGGAAAGCGGAAUACCUGGUGUAGAGGUGAAAUUCGUAGAUAUCAGGUGGAACACCAGUGGCGAAGGCGGCUUUCUGGACGGUAACUGACGCUGAGACGCGAAAGCGUGGGGAGCAAACAGG